UACGUAGGUGGCAAGCGUUGUCCGGAUUUAUUGGGCGUAAAGCGCGCGCAGGUGGUUUCUUAAGUCUGAUGUGAAAGCCCCCGGCUUAACCGGGGAGGGUCAUUGGAAACUGGGAGACUUGAGUGCAGAAGAGGAAAGUGGAAUUCCAAGUGUAGCGGUGAAAUGCGUAGAGAUUUGGAGGAACACCAGUGGCGAAGGCGACUUUCUGGUCUGUAACUGACACUGAGGCGCGAAAGCGUGGGGAGCAAACAGG
rnacentral:rRNA from 1 species